rnacentral:tRNA from 2 species
GCCGGUUUAGCUCAGAUGGUAGAGCACCUGAUUUGUAAUCAGGGGGCCGCGGGUUCGAUCCCUGCAACCGGCACCA